GGUGGCUUAGUGGUUUAGAGUUUGGCUGCUAACCAAAAAAGUCUGGCAGUUCUAAUCUGCCAGCUGCUC
rnacentral:tRNA from 1 species